rnacentral:rRNA from 3 species
AGAGUUUGAUCAUGGCUCAGGACGAACGCUGGCGGCGUGCCUAACACAUGCAAGUCGAGCGGUCUCGCCUAUAGCAAAAGGCCUUCGGGCUUCGAGCAAAGGCGAGAUAGCGGCGGACGGGUGAGUAACGCGUGGCUUAUCUGUCCCAGGGAGGGGGAUAACGUCUGGAAACGGGCGCUAAUACCCCAUAUGCCGGUGAGGUAAAAAGGAGAAAUCCGCCCUGGGGUGAGGCCGCGUCCUAUCAGCUAGUUGGUGAGGUAACGGCCCACCAAGGCUAUGACGGGUAGCCGGCCUGAGAGGGCGGCUGGCCACACUGGGAUUGAGAUACGGCCCAGACUCCUACGGGAGGCAGCAGUGGGGAAUAUUGGGCAAUGGGGGAAACCCUGACCCAGCGACGCCGCGUGGAGGAAGGAGCCCUUCGGGGUGUAAACUCCUGUUGUAAGGGAAGAAGACAGUGACGGUACCUUACGAGGAAGCCCCGGCAAACUACGUGCCAGCAGCCGCGGUAACACGUAGGGGGCGAGCGUUGUCCGGAAUCACUGGGCGUAAAGCGCACGCAGGCGGAUGCGCGCGUCGGCUGUGAAAUGCACCGGCUCAACCGGUGCACUGCGGUCGAUACGGCGCGUCUGGAGUGCGGGAGAGGGAAGCGGAAUUCCCGGUGUAGCGGUGAAAUGCGUAGAUAUCGGGAGGAACGCCGGUGGCGAAGGCGGCUUCCUGGCCCGCAACUGACGCUCAUGUGCGAAAGCCAGGGGAGCGAACCGGAUUAGAUACCCGGGUAGUCCUGGCCGUAAACGAUGGACGCUAGGUGUGGGCGGUUUAUCCGUCUGUGCCGAAGUUAACGCGUUAAGCGUCCCGCCUGGGGAGUACGAUCGCAAGGUUGAAACUCAAAUGAAUUGACGG